rnacentral:rRNA from 1 species
UACGUAGGGGGCAAGCGUUGUCCGGAUUUAUUGGGCGUAAAGAGCGUGUAGGCGGCCAUGUAGGUCCGUUGUGAAAACUCGAGGCUCAACCUCGAGACGCCGAUGGAAACCAUAUGGCUAGAGUCCGGAAGAGGAGAGUGGAAUUCCUGGUGUAGCGGUGAAAUGCGCAGAUAUCGGGAAGAACACCCGUGGCGAAGGCGGCUCUCUGGGACGGUACUGACGCUGAGACGCGAAAGCGUGGGGAGCGAACAGG